rnacentral:rRNA from 1 species
AUUGAACGCUGGCGGCAUGCUUUACACAUGCAAGUCGAACGGCAGCACGGGCUUCGGCCUGGUGGCGAGUGGCGAACGGGUGAGUAAUGCAUCGGAACGUACCGUGUAAUGGGGGAUAACGUAGCGAAAGUUACGCUAAUACCGCAUACGCCCUGAGGGGGGAAAGGUGGGGGACCGGCAAGGCCUCACGUUAUACGAGCGGCCGAUGUCGGAUUAGCUAGUUGGUGGGGUAAAGGCCUACCAAGGCGACGAUCCGUAGCGGGUCUGAGAGGAUGAUCCGCCACACUGGGACUGAGACACGGCCCAGACUCCUACGGGAGGCAGCAGUGGGGAAUUUUGGACAAUGGGCGCAAGCCUGAUCCAGCCAUGCCGCGUGAGUGAAGAAGGCC